GCAGCAAGCAGGCAGACGCGGUGCUAGAGAAGGAGCCGAGAGCUCUUACAUCUUGACUCGAAGGCUGCAGGAAGUGGUCUGAAACCAAAGUCUGCCCCCACAGUGACACACUUCCUCCAACAAGGCCGCACCUCCUAAUAGUGUCACUCGCUUUGGUGGUCAUUUUCUUUGAAACAACCACAUGGGUAUUGGAUUUCUUGGAGAUGGGGUUACAGGCGGUUGGGAGCCCUUGGAUAUGGGUGGGUGUUGAGAUUCCCAGCUCAGGUCCUCUGUGAGGACCGUUAGAACUCUUAAGCAUCUCCUCAGCUGCGGGCAACAGCACUGAUCUGGGUGUGAAGCCUUCACCCAAUACACGGACCUUUGCAGGAGAUAAGUUCCAAUAGCAGUAACGCAGCAAGCAGCAGUGUGUUCCUCUCUGGCUUCUGUGGAUCUAGUGCCUGUAGUACUCCCAGUUUCCUGGUCUACCUCUCAUUUCUGCACAAGUUACCUUACCUGCCAUCUGUGUGCCCAGGAAGCGCUCCGUGUCUUUGGGACAAGGGCAUGACUCCUUCACCCACAGCCUCCAAAUGUAUUCCACGCUAUUGCCAUGCGGUCUGCUAGCAGCUGCUAUGCCGCCUGCUGCCCGCCGCCUGCUGCCCUCAGCUGAGCACAUGUAACAGCCCAGAUGCUGGUGUUCUGAGCUCCCACAAGAUCAAGACUUUGAGUGGACUCUCCCAGCUGCCUGCCCCAGGAAUGUCCCAGAGGACAAAGAGCCAAGGCCCCAUCCAUGUUAGCUGGUAAAAUUGUCUCAAAUGGAUAUGACCUUUGAAGCUGUAUCCAAACACUGUACUCAGAACUGCAAAACUCAACUGUGCAUCAAAAUGGUUAUUAGGAAAAUGGUUAACCAAGUUGUUAUUUUCUUUAUGUUUCCACGGAGACAUCUCUAGAGUGGAACUCUUGUGAAUCACAUCAGAAGCUUGUGGCUUAUAUGGAUACUAAGUCAGUCCUGACUGGAUUUGGAAUGCAGACCAAAUCUUCAAAGAUCCUCUGCAAGAUGAAGACGCUGCCUCGAUCCUUAAUUUCCAAGUUUAAAAUUCUAGAUUGUCACUGAAGGUGUAGCUCAGUGAAGAGUGUGCUUACUGCCUAGGCUGGAUCUCCAGCACGCUGCCACAUGUGUCCAUUGCUGGGAUUAAAGGCGUGCGCCACCACCACCCAGCCUUCCUCUGCAUCUCAAGACGGUACCUCCACACCCAUGCUGGCGCCCACUGCGGAGAAUGGAAGCUGCUGCAGAGUCCCGGCUUAGGAGGCUCUCCGUGGACUGGCAGGAGGACAGCAUGCCCUGACCUCCUCAAUCAGAGGCCCGCACUAAGUGGAGAAUAGACUA